GACGAACGCUGGCGGCGUGCCUAAUACAUGCAAGUCGAGCGGACGAAUCGAAAGCUUGCUUUUGAUUCGUUAGCGGCGGACGGGUGAGUAACACGUGGGCAACCUGCCCUGUAGACGGGGAUAACACCGAGAAAUCGGUGCUAAUACCGGAUAACACGAAAUGUCGCAUGACGUUUCGUUGAAAGACGGCGCAAGCUGUCGCUACAGGAUGGGCCCGCGGCGCAUUAGCUAGUUGGUGAGGUAACGGCUCACCAAGGCGACGAUGCGUAGCCGACCUGAGAGGGUGAUCGGCCACACUGGGACUGAGACACGGCCCAGACUCCUACGGGAGGCAGCAGUAGGGAAUCUUCCGCAAUGGACGAAGUCUGACGGAGCAACGCCGCGUGAGCGAAGAAGGCCUUCGGGUCGUAAAGCUCUGUUGUUAGGGAAGAACAAGUAACGCAGUAACUGGCGUUACCGUGACGGUACCUAACGAGAAAGCCACGGCUAACUACGUG
rnacentral:rRNA from 1 species